rnacentral:rRNA from 1 species
CCUACGGGUGGCAGCAGUGGGGGAUAUUGCACAAUGGGGGGAACCCUGAUGCAGCGACGCCGCGUGGGUGAAGGAGUAUUUCGGUAUGUAAAGCCCUAUCAGCAGGGAAGAACAAUGACGGUACCGGACUAAGAAGCACCGGCUAAAUACGUGCCAGCAGCCGCGGUAAUACGUAUGGUGCAAGCGUUAUCCGGAUUUACUGGGUGUAAAGGGAGCGCAGGCGGCGCGUUAAGCCUGGUGUGAAAGCCUGCGGCUCAACCGCGGGACUGCAUUGGAAACUGGCGGGCUGGAGUGACGGAGGGGUAGGCGGAAUUCCUGGUGUAGCGGUGAAAUGCGUAGAGAUUAGGAGGAACACCAGUGGCGAAGGCGGCCUACUGGACGGUGACUGACGCUGAGGCUCGAAAGCGUGGGGAGCAAACAGGAUUAGAUACCCGGGUAGUC